GAUGAACGCUGGCGGCGUGCCUAAUACAUGCAAGUCGAGCGAACGGACGAGAAGCUUGCUUCUCUGAUGUUAGCGGCGGACGGGUGAGUAACACGUGGAUAACCUACCUAUAAGACUGGGAUAACUUCGGGAAACCGGAGCUAAUACCGGAUAAUAUUUUGAACCGCAUGGUUCAAAAGUGAAAGACGGUCUUGCUGUCACUUAUAGAUGGAUCCGCGCUGCAUUAGCUAGUUGGUAAGGUAACGGCUUACCAAGGCAACGAUGCAUAGCCGACCUGAGAGGGUGAUCGGCCACACUGGAACUGAGACACGGUCCAGACUCCUACGGGAGGAAGCAGUAGGGAAUCUUCCGCAAUGGGCGAAAGCCUGACGGAGCAACGCCGCGUGAGUGAUGAAGGUCUUCGGAUCGUAAAACUCUGUUAUUAGGGAAGAACAUAUGUGUAAGUAACUGUGCACAUCUUGACGGUACCUAAGCAGAAAGCCACGGCUAACUACG
rnacentral:rRNA from 1 species